CCCGGCACUUACAACACUUUCUGGGAUAGCUUCUCUCUUUGAGUUUUUCUGAAGGUACUAUUGUUGGAAAUUUUUGCUGUACCUAUUCUUUCCUUCUGAUGUCUUCCUACAUGAUGAGGUCACAAGUGACUUAUUCCUACCUCUACACUUCAUGUCUAGUGUCACUUGGAGUCAGGUCCAGCCUGGUAUUCAGGAAUUUGUCUGCCAGUUUGCAGAACUGAAUCUGGUGUCAGUCGCACUGAGUGUCCCCUGUGCUGGAGCUGACGGGUCCUGCAGCUCUCCAUCCCCAGCGCUUGUCCCUCUGACCUCCAUCCAGGCAGAUGCGAUUUGCAGAGCGACACAUUCACCUGCCAUCAGCGCUCGGAAGAGAGAACCUGGAGAGCACCACGUGGAUGCUCCUUGGCUGAUUUUAUGUCCUAGCCUGGAUUAUUGGAACAGCCAGAUAAAAGGCUGCAUGAACACUGGCAUCUAUGUUAGCAAGUACAGCAGCACAGGGAGGGCUGGGGGGUUGGUCUCAGCAUCAGUGUGUCUCCCCUGUUUACCUACGUCCUUUCAUCCCUCUCCUCUGCUGCACAUGCUUUGCAUCUGGCUGCUAACCAAACAUGUUUGACUGCUGUCUACAAAUAACAUCAUUCCAAAUAUAAAAUAUUCUGUGACUCACUUUAAUUACAAAAAGAAAAAUGAAAAAAAAGGGGGUUCUAAUGCACUGGAAGUUUUCCUGGGAAUAUGAAGCCAUCUAUCUGGUUGCCAUGAGCCAGCUAAAGAAAAAAAUCCACAGAGGAAAAGCAAGGUCUCAAUUAUAGUAUAAAAGACAGUGCGCUAUGUAUUUGAGAUAAUAGAUUUAAAAUUAUACUGAGUCAGCCUCAGUGAUGGCAAAACAGCUGGGGUUGUAGCCUGAGCCACCCCGGAGCUGCAAUCAGAGGGAUGUGGAGAUGUUUAUGUGCCAUCUGUGUGCUGUUGGGGCACCCUCAGCCACCCGAUGCGGGGAGCAUCACGGCUUCCCUGUGAUGUUUGCUGCUGGGCAUCGCUGAGCACCACUGCAAGGAGCCACGGUUUACAAGACUGUCUGUCACAUCCCACCUUGUCUCUCCCUGUGCCCUUUACCAAAGUUUGAGAACAAGCUCAAUUUAUUUGCUGGCAUUUGGCAAUCCAGAUAUUAACCUGGUUUAAAUUCAUUUUCUGCCCCAACAUUUCUUAAAGGUUGGGGUAUCUUGUCAAAUUACUGCAGCUGCCCUUUCUUCUGCGCUCCCAGGUUAGAAAUGGUGACUUUUCUCCUGCAUCCAAAACAUGCCCUCUCCUGAAACUAGCUGGGCUAUUUGUUUUUGCAGGGAAGUCUGAAAUCCCCAUGGAAAAGCUGCUCAGUGUUUGGCACACAGAGAAGGUCACGCUUGAUGAGAUAAGCGAUGUUAUUUUUCAAGCUUAUAGUCAAGUAUUGCAAAUAAUUACAAAGCAGAGCUCUAUAUUUAUGUAGCUUAGUGUUAUUGUAACUUGCAUUGAUCAAUGCUUGCUUCUAAUCUAACGCAUGAAAAAUUCUGUCAAGGAUAACGCUUAUUCAGUGCGAAUCUCAGUUAGAAAUAGAUCCUCAGGUGAUACAUCCAUGAUGAGCUAUUUUCAAGAGGGUAUUGUGUGUCUCUCAAAGACUUUCGGGAGGGAGGAGGUAAAAGUAAGUGGUUUGAGACAAUAGCGAACUGAUUCGAUAGCUGCAUGGAGAGCAGCAGGCUGGCGGUGCAGCCCGUGCUGGACGAGCUGAGCAGCACAGCGCUCCUAUGAAAUGCAAACGAUUUAGAUGAAAUGAGAAGGAAAACAAAGAGGAAACUAAGGACAGGCCCAGCAAAGGCCAAUUAAAAGGAGAUGGAUGCAAAUCUUAGCAGGAAUUUGGAAGGGGACUAGGACUGUGCUGUUCCAUCCCUGCUGCUGCUCGUGGGGUUGUUUGCUUUCAGACUGACAGCUGUCAUGGGUUGCUGGAGUGUUGAUCUCUUUAAAAAAACCCCAUGUUUUUGCUGUCUCUCUGGGACUGUUUAACAUGCCUACAAGGCUGGAUGAAGCAAAGAUGUCUGCCAAACCAGCUACUUUAUCGUGCCUCCUCUACAAAUGCUGCCAGGCCUCAGUUAACUGUUUUUAGCUAAGAAGGUAAGAUGUGUAAGAUAUUUUUUCACCCUUCUGUUAUAAACUGUGGCCAAAAAACAGCAGGGUAAGUGGUUUGCUUUAAAAGGUCACGCUCGUUUGUCUCACCUGUAUCACAAUACAAAAACCUCUCUGAUAGAGCCAGAAACUACUUUUGCACAUGAAAGCAAUAAAAUAUACAUCCGAAUGCUACCCCACCCAAAACACCAGCUGGGAAUGACAGUGCUGCAGAGAGCUGGGGUGCAGCUGAUGUGCAGAAUCAUGAAGACAUUUUGGGGCCUCAGUCCAGCUGCUGCGUCUCCACCCUCAGCCCUGCACAACAUCUGCUAUGGACACUGUGACUGUCCCUGCACGACAAACAAGGUGCAAUUUGGGUUAAUAGUCACUGAAUGAAACGAUUUUUUUUUCCUGAAUGCCCUUUGCUAUUAAAGUAGAUCAUGACUAGGAGGGGGUGAGACAGCAAGGAUAUAAUUAGAAGUGCAUUCAUCACUCCUGCUGGUAAUUGUUUUCUAAGAAUGCAUAAAAGGAUAAGCGAUUGCUUUCUAAAGUGUCCCAUUGUGCUGCAGGUACCAGUCACAAAUCAAUUAAAGCUGGUGAGCUCAGCCCCAUCCAUGUACAUCUCUGUGACAGACCCCACCACUCUAUGUCUGUGGGGGACAGGGGAG